UUUUAUUUUCCCCCUUCCCCUUCUUCUUCUCACGCAAAGCAACCCCACUCCCGUGUCUUUCUUCUCUGCGCCGUCCACCACCGACCCAGCCUCUCGCGCCGCUCGCCCUCCUUCACAUCGCUUGCUUUGCCGUUGCCUCCUCUUAGUCGCUGAAGUCGACGCCAAGCCGCAGAUUUGAGACGCUCGUCCCAGCCGUCUCAGUCGUAGAUCCAGCCACUCGCUCUCGCCGUGUAACCCCCCUAGCCGCUCGCCCUCACCGUGCAACGCUUCCAGUCGCUCAGCCCCUACGCACCGCCUGCCCAACCCCAACCCACGGAUUAGAUCUAAGGCUCAGCCCUUCGGCGCCGUCCCAACCUCAUCCAGUGUGACACCCGGCCGCCACUGCUUUGGUCUUCGUCGGAAUCUUGGAUUAAGGGGCGAAAUUUCAGGUUGUUGAAGUUGUCGUCCAGCCAAUUAAAGGUAUAGUCAAUGAAUUUUGGUGAAGGGUAAGGCUUUAAACUUGUUUGGGUGGUUAAGCAUGUUGUAUGUUUAUGAAUUAUUCGAUUUAAGUUUGACCGAACCAUGGAUUGCGGCCUAAAAUAAUUUUCCAUGAUGUUUGGGUGUUAGGUUUGGAUCUUGAGGUUUCUUGGUGGGUGAUUUACGUUUGAUCCCGUGGGUUUUCAAUAAGUUGUUGAGAAGCUUUUGGAUUAGGAUUGGUGGUUUUGAAAUUGUGCUUAGAUAUUGAUAUUUCAUAUUUGCUUGUUUGUUACUUUGGUUUGAUUCAAGGUGUCGUUGGGCAAGGAAGAGGUUAAGCUUGCUAGUUUCUAGAGUUUGUGAUUAGAGGUAAGUAAUCGAACUAUUGGAACUGCCUCGUACUAGGCAUCAUGUUGUAUUAAGGUUGUUUAUGAUGGAACAUAAAGAACUAAGCAUGUUGUAUUAAGGUUGUUUAUGAUGGAACAUAAAGAACGCAUGCACAAUGGAAGCGAUGAAAUUGACAACGUUUUAAUUGCAAUAAAAAUAAGAAUAAGCAUGCAAAAGGGAUAGAAAAUACUACCUUUGAAGACUCCA